GGGUCCGUAGUCUAGCGGUUAGGAUACUCCCCUGACGCGGGAGAGAUCCCGGUCGGGCCAUGUUGCCCGGGGAAGGUUCAAAUCCCGGCGGACCCA
rnacentral:tRNA from 1 species